GCAUUAAUGGGGUAGUGGUAACCUGGGUCGUUGCCACCUCGAGAGCUGAUCUCGACCCGCCGGGGGUUCGAUUCCCUCUUAAUGCA